AAAAAUUAGGUCCUGUACAGAUCUUUUCAGGACAUGAAGUUACACAAGUGUGCAAUCUCUGUAAACUGGCCAGGACCAGGCGUGGUUGGUGGUCUU